UCCAGUUUUCCUUCGAGAAUGUGUCUA
rnacentral:piRNA from 1 species